rnacentral:lncRNA from 1 species
UAUAGGACUCUCCAAGUCGAUGUGCAAAUUAAGACUUGUUUGAUUACUAUUUAGAAUCUGUAUGACAAUCAUUUCGUUUAUAAUUUUGCCUUUCAUCACUUAAUUCAUCAUUUCCCCUAUAUACUUUCCACAUAUCUAUAACACGGUAAAAAUUUAAAACAAAAUGGUAGCCAUAAGGGUCCUAAUAGUCUUAUGAGACGAGUCACAUUUUCAUUUAGUCCUAUAAUAAAGAUGCUACUAACCUAUCCAUUUCGAUGGUUAAUUAUGUAUGGGAAGUAUUAGCUCACACUCCCAAUUUGCUAUCCUGCAUGUCAUCCUAAAACAUUAAUUUCUUGGUAAACAGAAGCAUUAUCUCACUGAUGUUGAUGAAUAUGUAAUUACAUAUACAUAUAUAUGAGUUAUAAGCAUAAACAAGAGCUUAUUUACACUAUUAGACAAUUAAUUAUUACAAAAGAGUUGGUAGUAAACCACUGUUAUGUAUAUUUCGCCUUUACAGAAUCAGAAUGAUUGUUGAUCAACAAAUUAUUACGUCUUUCCAUUGCAUUAGUGGACCUUAAAGUGAACUUUAUUUAGCAUAUCCAACAGUAAUAGUAAAAUCCACUACCUUAUUAGUUAUCAAUUCUAGAUUAGUUUGAUCUCUUCUACCUCUCUAAGUCCUUUAUUUUGCUUUAAAUAGAACCGAAUAGUUAACUUGUGUCAAAUGGGUAGGUAUCAAAGAUCUCCGCGUGCAGGAAUCCAGAAACAACAAUAAUAAUAUAUAAUCAUUCCUAUAUAAUUAACAAUGUUUGACCUUAAUUAAUCAUACAUAUAUAUAUAAUGGCCACAUAAGAGUUGCAUAAGUUGAUGACACCAUGGAUCACACAAAGUAUCAUUAAUAAUUGAUCUGAUUUCUUGAUUAUUCUAUUAAAUUUGCAAAGACGGGCCAAGAAGGCUUAACCGCAUUAUAAAAGAGAUAAAGGUAGCAUGAUUCAGAAAAUGAUCAUCACAUGAUUGAAAACAUACCAAAAGUAAGAUGGACAACUUAGAAUACAGGUAACUUUCUUGAGUACAUUUCAUUGAACAUCAUUGAAAUUAGUUCCCACUCAUCGUGAUAUAGGUUUUAUAUAAGAGGGAUAAUGGUUCUGACUCCCAUAUGAAGACAUCACAAGCUAAGAACUUCCCCAGAAGAAACCUAUUGUUCCCAUCUCUUUCUCUCUCUCUCUCUCUCUCUCUCUCUCUCUCUCUCUCUCUCUUUUCAUUACCAACUAACAAAAUCCACAGAUGUACGUUUUUAAGGAUGGCGGAUAAGGGUUCUUGACUCCCAUAUGAGGACAUCACAAGUUAAGAACCUCCCCAGAAGAAACCUAUUGUUCACAUCUCUCUCUCUCUCUCUCUCCGGCACAUUUCAUUGCCGACUAACAAAAUCCCCUGAUGUACGUUUCUUAAAGAUGGCUUUUAAUUAGUCUUUCCUUCUACCUUCUUCAUUAUCCUUUGUCAUUUAGCAAAGUGUUCUGAUUAUCGGGAGCGUCCAUUCCCUAAUUAAACCACCUUUUAUUAAAACAUCAAACCACAUGAAAGGGGUUAAGUCAAUCCAGCGGUGUUUUUGUAAUGUACUUACAUCCUCACAUGAAAUCCUACUUUGAAAGUGUGAUAUGACGUCUACAACGUAAAAUUCAACCUUGUUACAGUAAUAACAAUAUCAUUAGGUGAUAUUAUUAACUAUAAUCUUACUAUUCUUAUGUAAUUUUGAAUUGUAAACUUUGGCAAAUUAAGGUAAUCUUACUUUCUUGUAAUUAGAAAUUGAGUGUUAAAGUCAUGUUGUAACACUAAUAAACAUGAAGGUAGAGAGUAAAAAAGUGGUGAUGAGAGAAUGGAUAAUUUCAUGAUGUCCUAGUAGCAACUUACGUCUAUUUGUAAUCAAACAUUUAUGAUAUAACAAUCAACGAUGGUAGUGUAAUAAGAAUAUCAUUCUAUAACCAUUAUAAUAUAGCUUAACAAUAAACUUUUACAAUUAUAAUAUAGUUUGAUUAAAAGGUACCAAUACUCUAUUUGUACCGUAGAAUUUCCCGUCUUCUAAAUGUAGACUAACCUAAGGUAUUGAUUAAAUACAUGGGUAAUGUUAGAGAGGCCAAAUUUUAAACUAAAUUGUGUAAAUCAAAUGAUGUGGUUGUUGAUUAUUGGAAUAUUAACUAAAUGUCAAUUAACGUGCUUAUUUUUUAUUGUUGACACAUUAUUUAGUUUGCAAAUUUAGUUUAAAAAUUAGUCUCCUUAGCAUUAUCCUAAAUACUAAUGAAAUCACCCUUAUCAUGCAAUCAACUUUAACGAUGAUAAUUGUGGAGUUAGAGAAAAAUUUACUAAGUUAAUGCUAUUAGUACUUUAAAAAGGUCAUUAUGCAUUCAACUAUAUAAAGAAUAAUGCUAGAAAGAUUAAAAUUUUAAAAUAAAUUAGCAAACCAAAUGAUAUGUAAUUAAGUACGUUAAUCAAUAUUUAAGUAAUAAUCCAAUCAUUAACAUUCACAUCAUUUAAUUUAUAAAAUUUGGUUUGAAAAUUUAAUUUUCCUAUCAUUAGCCGUAUAUAAAAACCACAGUUAAAGAAUAAUUUGUAAAAUAACAGUGCAUGAUGAUAUUUUCAGUGUGAUGUUAAUGCAUAAUAACCGCAUUUGGUGGCAAAUGGUUAAGAACGAAGAGAUAACAAGUUUCGUUGUCGGUGCUCCUGAAAUAGUGUGUGGCCUCUUUUUUUGAUGAUUUUUUGACACGUAAAAGUAUCAUGACAUAUGUCUCCAUAGUCUACAUCUCUAUCAUAUGCAAAAAUCUAUUUCUUACCUGCUCUAAGCUAAUAUUUUAGUGGGCCCCUAUUUUAUAACGCCCCAAGAAAAAAUGAUUUGUUUGUGUACUAUAUAUACGAAUUCUUUUUGUCCAGACAAAACCGUGUGAACUAUUUUUGUUAAAAAAAAACUACAAAUCAAUUCUUAUUUAAUAAUAUUUGGAGUAGGACAGACUGCUGAGGGCAGAAAGCGCGAUUCUUUGGUUAGAAGGAACCUGUUGAUCCUAGAAUUUACAAAGCUUAUGUGGUGGCAUGCAGACCAAAUUAUUAUGAGCUAAGUACGUUUUUUUUUUUUGUGAAGGCAAGCGUGCCAAUUAGCAACCAAACUCGAUCGGAUGAGUAGAAUAAAUGUCGUGAUGAAAUGUCGAAUGUGCUACUGACUUCUGCACUUGAGUGGCUACGACCAAAGAAGGUGUUGAUUGACAGCUUGGCAUCCAGUUCAACAUCCAGCUCAGCAAACAGGCUAAAGACAAGAAUGCCAUAUAAUAGUGAUGUGUAAGAAGGUGGUUAAGAAUAUAAGGAUAAGGAAGUUAGUUACAUUAGUUAAUAUGGAACGCGUCUUCGCCUUGGGUUUUGGAAACCUGAAGACAAGGUUGCCUUUUAUUGCAAAGUUCAAUAAAGUUUUUCUUUCAAUGUGCCAAACACAAAGUAACCAGGAUCACCUCACUUCGCUAGAAAGUUACUGGAAGGACCUCUUUGGGCGAAAAAAUUAAGAAGUCUUUGCCUGCCAAGACUUGGAUGGAUAAUCAAUCAACCCAAGAGGAGUGUUGUCUAGUUGUCCAAACUAAAAGUGCCCCUAUGCUACUUAAUUCUACGGUGCCAAUGCUGUUUACUUAUCCAAACUGAAGGUGUUGCCGGUUGUCAACAGUGUUACUUUUUUAUCCAAACUGAAAAUGUAUUGACGAGAGGAUUAUUAUAGUUAGUGUUUUCCUCAGGUGUGUGAGAAGGUUUUUGUUUA